UUCAUGACAACAGAAGCCACAGAAAUCCUCCUCAUCAAAAACAUGACUUUGAUCUCCGUCCUCAUCUGGACUCUCCUCUGCUGCUGCUUCACAGAGUCCAGAGGCCAGAUCACAGUGACUCAGCCUGCAGCAGUGAGAUCUGAACUGAGAGGAUCUGCAACCAUCAGCUGUAAGACCAGUCAAAAUGUGGGUACAGGAUCAAAGAGUGGUAAAGAACUUUUAGCCUGGUACCAACAGAGAGAUGGAGAAGUUCCUAAACUUCUCAUAAAAUACAUUAAAGAGCGAGAAUCAGGGAUUCCAGAUCGUUUUUCAGGCAGUGGAUCAAACUCUGACUUCACUCUGACCAUCAGUGGAGUUCAGGCUGAAGAUGCAGCAGUUUAUUACUGUCAGAGUGCACACAGCAUCAACAGUCAGGAAGUGUUCACACAGUGA